UCCCAUGCCGAACUCAGAAGUGAAACGCCGUAGCGCCGAUGGUAGUGUGGGGUCUCCCCAUGUGAGAGUAGGGAACUGCCAAGC
rnacentral:rRNA from 2 species